rnacentral:rRNA from 1 species
UGGGAAAUAUUGCACAAUGGGCGAAAGCCUGAUGCAGCGACGCCGCGUGAGGGAUGACGGCCUUCGGGUUGUAAACCUCUUUCAGCAGGGACGAAGCGCAAGUGACGGUACCUGCAGAAGAAGCACCGGCUAACUACGUGCCAGCAGCCGCGGUAAUACGUAGGGUGCAAGCGUUGUCCGGAAUUACUGGGCGUAAAGAGUUCGUAGGCGGUUUGUCGCGUCGUUUGUGAAAACCAGCAGCUCAACUGCUGGCUUGCAGGCGAUACGGGCAGACUUGAGUAGUGCAGGGGAGACUGGAAUUCCUGGUGUAGCGGUGAAAUGCGCAGAUAUCAGGAGGAACACCGGUGGCGAAGGCGGGUCUCUGGGCAGUAACUGACGCUGAGGAACGAAAGCGUGGGUAGCGAACAAG